rnacentral:rRNA from 1 species
CAGUUCGGAUCGUAGUCUGCAACCCGGCUACAUGAAGCUGGAAUCGCUAGUAAUCGCGGAUCAGAAUGCCGCGGUGAAUACGUUCCCGGGUCUUGUACACACCGCCCGUCACACCAUGGGAGUCGGAAAUGCCCGAAGUCUGUGACCCAACCUCAGGGAGGGAGCAGCCGAAGGCAGGCCGGAUGACUGGGGUGAAGUCGUAACAAGGUAUC